CCUACGGGUGGCAGCAGUGAGGAAUCUUGGUCAAUGGACGAGAGUCUGAACCAGCCAAGUAGCGUGAAGGAUGACUGCCCUCUGGGUUGUAAACUUCUUUUAUAUGGGAAUAAGACAGGGUAUGCAUACCCUCUUGUAUCUACCAUAUGUAUACGGAUCGGCUAACUCCGUGCCAGCAGCCGCGGUACUACGGAGGAUCCGAGCGUUAUCCGGAUUUGUUGGGUUUAAAGGGAGCGUAGGUGGAUUGUUAAGUCAGUUGUGAAAGUUUACGGCUCAACCGUAAAAUUGCAGUUGAAACUGGCAGUCUUGAGUACAGUAGAGGUGGGCGGAACUCGUGGUGUAGCGGUGAAAUGCUUAGAUAUCACGAAGAACACCGAUUGCGAAGGCAGUUCACUGGACUGCAACUGACACUGAGGCUCGAAAGUGUGGGUAUCAAACAGGAUUAGAUACCCCUGUAGUC
rnacentral:rRNA from 1 species